GAUGAACGCUGGCGGCGUGCUUAACACAUGCAAGUCGAACGGUGAAAGAGAGCUUGCUCUCUGGAUCAGUGGCGAACGGGUGAGUAACACGUGAGCAAUCUGCCCCUGACCCUGGGAUAAGCGCUGGAAACGGCGUCUAAUACCGGAUACGAGCUGCGAAGGCAUCUUCAGCAGCUGGAAAGAACUUCGGUCAGGGAUGAGCUCGCGGCCUAUCAGCUAGUUGGUGAGGUAAUGGCUCACCAAGGCGUCGACGGGUAGCCGGCCUGAGAGGGUGACCGGCCACACUGGGACUGAGACACGGCCCAGACUCCUACGGGAGGCAGCAGUGGGGAAUAUUGCACAAUGGGCGCAAGCCUGAUGCAGCAACGCCGCGUGAGGGACGACGGCCUUCGGGUUGUAAACCUCUUUUAGCAGGGAAGAAGCGAAAGUGACGGUACCUGCAGAAAAAGCACCGGCUAACUACGUGCCAGCCGCCGCGGUAACAC
rnacentral:rRNA from 1 species